GGUUAUAGCUCAGCGGUAGAGCGCUUGCCUAGCAUGUAUGAGGCCCUGGGUUCGAUCCUCAGCACCA
rnacentral:tRNA from 1 species